rnacentral:rRNA from 1 species
ACAAUGAAGAGUUUGAUCCUGGCUCAGGACAAACGCUGGCGGCGUGCCUAACACAUGCAAGUCAAGGAGAACGUCCCCUUCGGGGGACUAUUAAACUGGCGGACGGGUGAGUAACGCGUAGGUAACCUGCCCCAGAGACCGGGACAACCCAUCGAAAGACGGGCUAAUACCGGAUGAUGCAGCGGAUCCUCAGGGAUAUGUUGUUAAAGGGGGCCUUCGGGUCCUGCUUUGGGAUGGGCCUG